rnacentral:misc_RNA from 1 species
CCAACUGGUUGCAAUUUUGAUCUGAUUGCAAAUUGAAUGCAAACAAUGAGUAAUAUUAUCCACUUGAAGUAAACCAUAACUUUGAUAAACUUUGUGAAGCAUAUUAAAUUUUGAUGAAUAUCAUUGACUUAUUAUGAGCAUAUGUGGCCAAAUUACUUUUUAGUACAUUGCAAUGGCAAAACAAUAAUUUGCAAGAAAUUUAAGAUAUAAUGACCUACCUCCUCCAAGAGCAAAGCUCCUUAAUGAAAACGCUAACUGAAAACUUCGAAUCAAAGUCUCAUUGCUGGAGUUCUAGAUUACAAAAAUAAAGUUAAUAAGAAAAAAAUAACAUGAAGAAAAGGAAAUCCUACCACAAGGCCAAACCUUCUUCCAAAAGAAUAUCCUCCAACUCAUACAGACAUUGAAUUGUCUUUUAUAUGUAGCUAAUUAGGAAUUUGGGACUUAGUCAAAUAUUUCAAAUAAGCAAAGACAGUGAAUACUAAUGACCUAAUCCAUUCAAAAGAGUAGAAGAAAAUGAUUAACUUCAUCACUUAUAAGACCACUAGGAAAAAGAAAGUAACAGUGACAAUGAAUAUAUAAGUUGAUCCCUACAAAUGCAAGAAAAUGCACUGAAAAGAGAGAGAGAGAGAGAGA